UGCUUACACAUGCAAGUCGAACGGGAUCCAUCAGGCUUUGCUUGGUGGUGAGAGUGGCGAACGGGUGAGUAAUGCGUGACCGACCUGCCCCAUACACCGGAAUAGCUCCUGGAAACGGGUGGUAAUGCCGGAUGCUCCAGUUGAUCGCAUGGUCUUCUGGGAAAGCUUUCGCGGUAUGGGAUGGGGUCGCGUCCUAUCAGCUUGACGGCGGGGUAACGGCCCACCGUGGCUUCGACGGGUAGCCGGCCUGAGAGGGCGACCGGCCACAUUGGGACUGAGAUACGGCCCAGACUCCUACGGGAGGCAGCAGUGGGGAAUAUUGCACAAUGGGCGCAAGCCUGAUGCAGCGACGCCGCGUGAGGGAUGGAGGCCUUCGGGUUGUAAACCUCUUUUAUCGGGGAGCAAGCGAGAGUGAGUUUACCCGUUGAAUAAGCACCGGCUAACUACGUGCCAGCAGCCGCGGUAAAAAGACGA
rnacentral:rRNA from 1 species